AGGGAGUCAUUUUGUACCUCAGUUUUUUACUCCCUUUUUGGAGUUAAAACUACUCUCUGAAACUAACAGUGAAUAUAGAGUAUGAAUCUAAUGCCUAAAUGAUGUAAAAAAUGAACAGGAAAUAUGUCAAAAAAGUGUACAAAAAACCACCACAAAUAAUAGAAUAGUUUCUAUUACAGCGAAAGUAAUUGUAAAAUAAAUUGUAGCGCAGAAAUAUUAUAAGAAAUAAUAUUAUAAGACUAAAGUAAACAAAGAAAACUAACUUUUCUGGGUUAAGAAUAGAACGGAAGUGACGUAGCACUUAUGCAUAUUCGGUAAGUAAAAUAUGCGACCAAAUUUAGAACGAACGAACGCUUUGACACAAGCCGAUGCGUUACCAUGAAAUAGAUAAGCUCACGUAAAUGAUGCGAAUUUGUUCGGAAAAUAUGUGUAUUGAUGGAGUAACAUGAAAGACAAAGGAUUCUAACAGCGAUGGCAAAAGGUUAGAGUGUUAAAUGAGGUCGUACGUGUUAUAGGAACGGAGAUAAUUGCUUGUUUAAACUCGAGUGACCUCGUGCCUGACCCGAUGAGUAAAUUGUUAGUGAAGCAAUUCACAAAGCAGAAUAUAGCUUGAAGUUGUGUAUAAGAACAAAAUCAUUCUCCAGAAAAGAAUGUAAAACAGAUCUAACAGAUCUCCCCCAUUCAUAAUGAGGUCGUACGUGUUAUAGGAACGGAGAUAAUUGCUUGUUUAAACUCGAGUGACCUCGUGCCUGACCCGAUGAGUAAAUUGUUAGUGAAGCAAUUCACAAA